UACGAAGGGGGCUAGCGUUGCUCGGAAUCACUGGGCGUAAAGGGUGCGUAGGCGGGUCUUUAAGUCAGGGGGUGAAAAUCCUGGAGCUCAACUCCAGAACUGCCUUUGAUACUGAAGAUCUUGAGUUCGGGAGAGGUGAGUGGAACUGCGAGUGUAGAGGUGAAAUUCGUAGAUAUUCGCAAGAACACCAGUGGCGAAGGCGGCGCCCUGGCCCCGACACUGGACGCUCAGACGAC
rnacentral:rRNA from 1 species